CUGCUGCCUCCCGUAGGAGUCUGGGCCGUGUCUCAGUCCCAGUGUGGCCGAUCACCCUCUCAGGUCGGCUACCCAUCGCGGUCUUGGUGGGCCGUUACCUCACCAACUAACUAAUGGGACGCGAGCCCAUCUACUACCGCUAAAUCGCUUUUACCCCUGUACCAUUCGGUACCGUGGUCUUAUACCGUAUUAGCACAAAUUUCUUUGUGUUAUCCCGUUGUAGUAGGCAGGUUGCUCACGUGUUACUCACCCGUUCGCCACUAGGAUA
rnacentral:rRNA from 1 species